rnacentral:sRNA from 1 species
UGAAAGACGCGCAUUUAUUAUCAUCAUCCCUGAUUCAGAGAUGUAUAUUUUGGCCACAUUGAUUGUGGCCUUUUUC